AAGUCGUAACAAGGUUUCCGUAGGUGAACCUGCGGAAGGAUCAUUAGCGAAGUUCGGAAUGCCGGUUCGGUGCUGAAGCUGCCCAGCGAUGGGAUGUGCUCGUCCGGGCCGGUGUCCCUUCUCUAUUCCACCCCACUGUGAACCAAGCGUGCGAGCAGAAGAGAGAUCGGAAGCUCGCAUGUACUCUUUAACAUACCCCUUAUGAAGUAUCUGAAUGUACCUUGCGUUAACUCGCACAAAUACAACUUUCAACAACGGAUCUCUUGGCUCUC
rnacentral:misc_RNA from 1 species